rnacentral:misc_RNA from 1 species
UAAUAAGUGUUUUAUGGCACUUUUUUAAAUCCAUAUCCACCUUGUGUGCAAUGUCAGGGUUUAGUCUCUUUUUGAGACUAAACCCCAAACAUCAACUAUAUCUCAACUCUUUGUCUGAAAAAUAUUAUGAAUAAAACAAUUCAAAAUA